rnacentral:rRNA from 1 species
AGAGUUUGAUCCUGGCUCAGGAUGAACGCUGACAGAAUGCUUAACACAUGCAAGUCGAUGGGGAAGUGGUGCUUGCACCAUGGUAACCAUGGCGGACGGGUGAGUAACGCGUAAGGAACUUGCCUGCGGGACUGGGAUAACAGCAGGAAACUGCUGAUAAUACCGGAUAAGGUCAUUAAGCUGCAUAGCUUAGUGAUGAAAGGAGACGCCUGCGGAGAGCCUUGCGUCCUAUUAGCUAGUUGGAGGGGUAACGGCCCACCAAGGCGAAGAUAGGUAGCCGGCCUGAGAGGGUGGACGGCCACAAGGGGACUGAGAUACGGCCCUUACUCCUACGGGAGGCAGCAGUGGGGAAUAUUGGACAAUGGGGGCAACCCUGAUCCAGCAAUUCUGUGUGCACGAUGAAGGUUUUCGGAUUGUAAAGUGCUUUCAGCAGGGAAGAAAAAAAUGACGGUACCUGCAGAAGAAGCGACGGCUAAAUACGUGCCAGCAGCCGCGGUAAUACGUAUGUCGCGAGCGUUAUCCGGAAUUAUUGGGCAUAAAGGGCAUCUAGGCGGCCUUUCAAGUCAGGGGUGAAAACCUGCGGCUCAACCGCAGGCCUGCCUUUGAAACUGAUAGGCUGGAGUACCGGAGAGGUGGACGGAACUGCACGAGUAGAGGUGAAAUUCGUAGAUAUGUGCAGGAAUGCCGAUGAUGAAGAUAGUUCACUGGACGGUAACUGACGCUGAAGUGCGAAAGCUAGGGGAGCAAACAGGAUUAGAUACCCUGGUAGUCCUAGCUGUAAACGAUGAUUACUGGGUGUGGGCAUGAAGAGUGUCCGUGCCGAAGCUAAUGCGAUAAGUAAUCCGCCUGGGGAGUACGGCCGCAAGGCUGAAACUCAAAGGAAUUGACGGGGACCCG